UACAGAGGUCUCAAGCGUUGUUCGGAAUCACUGGGCGUAAAGGGUGCGUAGGCCGCACGGUAAGUCAGAUGUGAAAGCCCGGAGCUCAACUCCGGAACUGCAUCCGAUACUGCCGUGCUUGAGGACUGGAGAGGAGUCUGGAAUUUACGGUGUAGCGGUGAAAUGCGUAGAUAUCGUAAGGAAGACCAGUGGCGAAGGCGGGUCUCUGGACAGUUCCUGACGCUGAGGCACGAAGGCCAGGGGAGCAAACGGG
rnacentral:rRNA from 1 species